AGCAGCCGCGGUAAUUCCAGCUCCAAUAGCGUAUAUUAAAGUUGUUGCAGUUAAAAAGCUCGUAGUUGAAUUUCGGGGUCAGUAGGUUGGUCAUGCCUCCGGUAUGUACUGGUCUCACUGAUUCCUCCUUCCUGAUGAGCCGUAAUGCCAUUAAUUUGGUGUUGCGGGGAAUCUGGACUGUUACUUUGAAAAAUUAGAGUGUUUAAAGCAAGCUAACGCUUGAAUACAUUAGCAUGGAAUAAUGGAAUAGGACGUUCGAUCCUAUUUGUUGGUUUCUAGGAUUGACGUAAUGAUUAAUAGGGAUAGUUGGGGGCAUUAGUAUUCAAUUGUCAGAGGUGAAAUUCUUGGAUUUAUUGAAGACUAACUACUGCGAAAGCAUUUGCCAAGGAUGUUUUCAUUAAUCAAGAACGAAAGUUAGGGGAUCGAAGACGAUCAGAUACCGUCGUAGUC
rnacentral:rRNA from 1 species